rnacentral:rRNA from 1 species
CCUACGGGAGGCAGCAGUAGGGAAUAUUGCUCAAUGGGGGAAACCCUGAAGCAGCAACGCCGCGUGGAGGAUGAAGGUUUUCGGAUUGUAAACUCCUUUUGUUAGAGAAGAUAAUGACGGUAUCUAACGAAUAAGCACCGGCUAACUCCGUGCCAGCAGCCGCGGUAAUACGGAGGGUGCAAGCGUUACUCGGAAUGACUGGGCGGAAAGAGCGCGUAGGCGGGAUAGCAAGUCAGAUGUGAAAUCCUAUGGCUUAACCAUAGAACUGCAUUUGAAACUGUUAUUCUAGAGUAUGGGAGAGGUAGGUGGAAUUCUUGGUGUAGGGGUAAAAUCCGUAGAGAUCAAGAGGAAUACUCAUUGCGAAGGCGACCUGCUAGAACAUAACUGACGCUGAUGCGCGAAAGCGUGGGGAGCAAACAGGAUUAGAUACUCUAGUAGUG